rnacentral:rRNA from 1 species
CCUACGGGCGGCAGCAGUGAGGAAUAUUGGUCAAUGGCCGGAAGGCUGAACCAGCCAAGCCGCGUGAAGGACGAAGGUGCCAAGCAUUGUAAACUUCUUUUGUCAAGGGACAAAAUCAGGCGCGAGAGCCUGACCGAGGGGACUGGAAGAAAAAGCAUCGGCUAACUCCGUGCCAGCAGCCGCGGUAAUACGGAGGAUGCGAGCGUUAUCCGGAUUGAGUGGGUUUAAAGGGGGCGUAGGAGGGCGGUUAAGUCAGCGGUAAAAGCCCGGGGCUCACCCCCGGCGCGCCGUUGAAACUGGCUGUCUUGCGCUGUCGAGAGGUAUGCGGCAUGCGCCGUGUAGCGGU